rnacentral:rRNA from 1 species
UACGUAGGGCGCAAGCGUUGUCCGGAAUUAUUGGGCGUAAAGAGCUCGUAGGCGGCUUGUCACGUCGGGUGUGAAAGCCCGGGGCUUAACCCCGGGUCUGCAUUCGAUACGGGCAGGCUAGAGUGUGGUAGGGGAGAUCGGAAUUCCUGGUGUAGCGGUGAAAUGCGCAGAUAUCAGGAGGAACACCGGUGGCGAAGGCAGCCCCCUGGGCUAGCACUGACGCUCAGGCACGAAAGCUAGGGGAGCAAACAGG